rnacentral:misc_RNA from 1 species
GAUGAAGAACGUAGCGAAAUGCGAUAAGUAGUGUGAAUUGCAGAAUUCAGUGAAUCAUCGAAUCUUUGAACGCACAUUGCGCCCCUUGGUAUUCCAUGGGGCAUGCCUGUUCGAGCGUCAUUUGUACCUUCAAGCUCUGCUUGGUGUUGGGUGUUUGUCUCGCCUCUGCGUGUAGACUCGCCUCAAAACAAUUGGCAGCCGGCGUAUUGAUUUCGGAGCGCAGUACAUCUCGCGCUUUGCACUCAUAACGACGACGUCCAAAAGUACAUUUUUACUCUCUUGACCUCGGAUCAGGUAGGGAUACCCGCUGAACUUAAGCAUAUCAAUAAGCGGAGGA